rnacentral:misc_RNA from 1 species
GGAAACUCUAGAAAAAAAAAAAUCCAAAAAUUUUGAAGAUUUAGGUGGAGAUGUGUUUUCAUGAUAUAGCAGUAGCAGCAUUUGGAGGCACACCAAGGGAAGAGUGCUUCUUUUGCAGCCUUCCUUUCAAUUGUCUGAUCUUUGCUUCUACUCUGGCUGUGAAUCCUAUCUUGGUCUUUUGCCUUGCCUUUGAUCUUUCCCUUGUCCACAUGUGAGUAUCUUCAACAUCCUUUCUGUAGUAUUUGAUUUCUUGGAUAAUGUGAUGAUCCAUUGGAUGGAAGCUUCUUUGGAAGGAUAUGUGGGCAAGAUAUGGGAGAUUACAGGUAAUUGUUACUAAAAUGGUGGCUAUCCAGUAAACAGGGGCAGGACCUAGUGCUUCAACAAAGAUUUUAUACGCAUUCCCAGAGGAUAUUAUCAUUCCAUAGAGUAAGAUGAACAAAUACCACAUGGCGAUACUACCCCAGACGAGAA